UAAUGGCAGGUCAGCAUACUGCCGUGAAUACGUUCCCGGGCCUUGUACACACCGCCCGUCACACCAUGAGAGUUGGGAAUACCCGAAGCCUGUGAGCUAACAUUAAGAGGCAGCAGUCGAAGGUAGAAUCAAUGAUUGGGGUGAAGUCGUAACAAGGUAUC
rnacentral:rRNA from 1 species